rnacentral:misc_RNA from 1 species
GAUGAAGAACGUAGCGAAAUGCGAUAAGUAAUGUGAAUUGCAGAAUUCAGUGAAUCAUCGAAUCUUUGAACGCACAUUGCGCCCCCUGGUAUUCCGGGGGGCAUGCCUGUUCGAGCGUCAUUUCACCACUCAAGCCUCGCUUGGUAUUGGGCAACGCGGUCCGCCGCGUGCCUCAAAUCGACCGGCUGGGUCUUCUGUCCCCUAAGCGUUGUGGAAACUUUCGCUAAGGGUGUUCGGGAGGCUACGCCGUAAAACAACCCCAUUUCUAAGGUUGACCUCGGAUCAGGUAGGGAUACCCGCUGAACUUAAGCAUAUCAAUAAGCGGAGGA